rnacentral:rRNA from 1 species
UACGUAGGGCGCGAGCGUUGUCCGGAUUUAUUGGGCGUAAAGAGCUCGUAGGCGGCUUGUCGCGUCAACUGUGAAAACCCGUGGCUCAACCAUGUGGUCUGCAGUCGAUACGGGCAGGCUAGAAUUCGGUAGGGGAGACUGGAAUUCCUGGUGUAGCGGUGAAAUGCGCAGAUAUCAGGAGGAACACCGGUGGCGAAGGCGGGUCUCUGGGCCGAUAUUGACGCUGAGGAGCGAAAGCGUGGGGAGCGAACGGG